UCUUCCUUUAGUAAGUAAUAUGUAAUCAUGAAAAUGUGGCUAAAGAAUUAAAAGUAUACUGUAGGCCAGCAUCUAGGCAUUGAUGAGGCAAAAAAACCUUCCCCAGAUUACUUCUCACACAUUUUUGAGAUUGCUAGGUGAAAUGUGCUCGUAUAUUUGCUAUGUACUUAAAGAUACAGUGGAGUAUAAUGGUGUCCUGAGCAGAGAAUGAAGUCACACUCCCGCUGUGUGUGUAAUCCAAGCUUCUCUGUUCUUUGUUUUGGAUAGCCGGUCCGGGCGUAGAGAUACAUUUAUUUGAAAGUUUGACAGUAUAAAAGGAAAAUGGAACACAAACUGAGAAUGUUGUCUCACGUAUGAUCCCAGAAUUUCUGAACCAAUAAACAACUGCUGGGACCAGGGCUCAAAAUUAGCACCGUUUACCAGCCAAAUGCUGCUAAAAUAUGCAAUGGGCUGGAAGAUGUGCUUCACUCACCGGCC